CAGCAAUCCCUCAAUCCCAUAAAAAAUAAAUGUAGGACCGGAUGUGACAUAUUCUAGUACUACGAAUCUGAAUAUAUGUAUGUUCAGAUUUAUAGUAUUAAGAUGUGUCACAUCUGAUAUUAGGUUGAUUUUUUAUGGGACGGAGGAUAU
rnacentral:misc_RNA from 1 species